AGCGAACGCUGGCGGCAGGCUUAACACAUGCAAGUCGAGCGGGCGUAGCAAUACGUCAGCGGCAGACGGGUGAGUAACGCGUGGGAACAUACCUUUUGGUUCGGAACAACACAGGGAAACUCGUGCUAAUACCGGAUAAGCCCUUACGGGGAAAGAUUUAUCGCCGAAAGAUUGGCCCGCGCCUGAUUAGCUAGUUGGUGAGGUAACGGCUCACCAAGGCGACGAUCAGUAGCUGGCUGAGAGGAUGAUCAGCCACAUUGGGACUGAGACACGGCCCAAACUCCUACGGGAGGCAGCAGUGGGGAAUAUUGGACAAUGGGCGCAAGCCUGAUCCGGCCAUGCCGCGUGAGUGAUGAAAGGCCCUAGGGUUGUAAAGCUCUUUUGUGCGGGAAGAUAAUGACGGUACCGCAAGAAUAAGCCCCGGCUAACUUCGUGCCAGCAGCCGCCGCUGUAAU
rnacentral:rRNA from 1 species